rnacentral:rRNA from 1 species
GGGUGAGUAAUGUCUGGGAAACUGCCUGAUGGAGGGGGAUAACUACUGGAAACGGUAGCUAAUACCGCAUAACGUCGCAAGACCAAAGAGGGGGACCUUCGGGCCUCUUGCCAUCAGAUGUGCCCAGAUGGGAUUAGCUAGUAGGUGGGGUAAUGGCUCACCUAGGCGACGAUCCCUAGCUGGUCUGAGAGGAUGACCAGCCACACUGGAACUGAGACACGGUCCAGACUCCUACGGGAGGCAGCAGUGGGGAAUAUUGCACAAUGGGCGCAAGCCUGAUGCAGCCAUGCCGCGUGUGUGAAGAAGGCCUUCGGGUUGUAAAGCACUUUCAGCGAGGAGGAAGGUGGUGAGCUUAAUACGCUCAUCAAUUGACGUUACUCGCAGAAGAAGCACCGGCUAACUCCGUGCCAGCAGCCGCGGUAAUACGGAGGGUGCAAGCGUUAAUCGGAAUUACUGGGCGUAAAGCGCACGCAGGCGGUUUGUUAAGUCAGAUGUGAAAUCCCCGGGCUCAACCUGGGAACUGCAUUUGAAACUGGCAAGCUAGAGUCUCGUAGAGGGGGGUAGAAUUCCAGGUGUAGCGGUGAAAUGCGUAGAGAUCUGGAGGAAUACCGGUGGCGAA